GAUGAACGCUAGCUACAGGCUUAACACAUGCAAGUCGAGGGACCGGCGCACGGGUGAGUAACACGUAUACAACCUGCACUUUACUAGGGGAUAGCAUUUCGAAAGAAAGAUUAAUACCCGAUGUAAAGGAUGGGGAUGCGUUCAAUUAGGUUGUUGGUGAGGUAACGGCUCACCAAGCCUUCGAUGGAUAGGGGUGCUGGGAGGAAGGGCCCCCGCAUUGGAGCUGAGACACGGUCCAAUCUCCUACGGGAGGCAGCAGUACUGAAUAUUGGUCAAUGGGCUUUAGCCUGAACCAGCCAAGUAGCGUGAAGGAUGAAUGCUUAUGGGUCGUAAACUGCUUUUAUAUAAGAAUAUGUAUUAUAUGAAUAAGUAUCGGCUAACUCCGUGCCAGCAGCCGCGGUAAUAC
rnacentral:rRNA from 1 species